rnacentral:rRNA from 1 species
UAAAGUGACUGCCGGUGCAAGCCGGAGGAAGGUGGGGAUGACGUCAAAUCAUCAUGCCCCUUAUGACCUGGGCUACACACGUGCUACAAUGGAUAGUACAAAGGGUCGCGAAGCCGCGAGGUGGAGCUAAUCCCAUAAAACUAUUCUCAGUUCGGAUUGUAGGCUGCAACUCGCCUACAUGAAGCCGGAAUCGCUAGUAAUCGUGGAUCAGCAUGCCACGGUGAAUACGUUCCCGGGCCUUGUACACACCGCCCGUCACACCACGAGAGUUUGUAACACCCGAAGUCGGUAGGGUAACCUUUAUGGAGCCAGCCGCCGAAGGUGGGACAGAUAAUUGGGGUGAAGUCGUAACAAGGUAGCCGUAUCGGAAGGUGCGGCUGGAUCACCUCCUUU